CCCCACUUGGCGAAAUGGGAAACGCGCGGCACUCAAAAUGCCGUACCCGAAAGGGUUUGUGAGUUCGACUCUCACAGUGGGGA
rnacentral:tRNA from 1 species